GAAACAGGUGUCAUCCUGAGUUGCAGCGACACCAUCAGGUUUGGUUUGAGUCGAGCUGAGACGGGCCGCUUCAGACAGCUGAAACUUUUCUCUGCGACGUUCUAAAAUGUUUUUGCGAAACUUUGGUCUGAACUGGGCUUUACUAACUCUUGCAAAUAAUUCAGUGCAUUGUUUGGGUAAAUUUGCAAGAGGCCUAAGUCUUAUAAUUUCAUAAUUUCAACUUCCUGGAGGGACUGAUCUACUAUUA